CUCUGAGUGAGUGUUAAGAAAGGAAAACAUCAACAUUUCACAAGAGAUGAGAAUUUAAGUAUCAUUCAGAUUGGCUUUACUAUCAAGCCUGUAAAUGUUUAUUUUUCAAACUGUGGACAAUAUGUGACUUUUAGGCAUUGUUGUGGAUAAAGAUGGAAGCAGAAAGAGCUUUCUUACAUGGGCACUCUGAGUGAAAGAAAACUAUUUUCUCAUCCAG